GGCUUCCUACGGGAGGCAGCAGUGGGGAAUAUUGCACAAUGGGCGGAAGCUUGAUGCAGCGACGCCGCGUGAGGGAUGACGGCCUUCGGGUUGUAAACCUCUUUCAGCAGGGACGAAGCGUAAGUGACGGUACCUGCAGAAGAAGCACCGGCCAACUACGUGCCAGCAGCCGCGGUAAGACGUAGGGUGCGAGCGUUGUCCGGAUUUAUUGGGCGUAAAGAGCUCGUAGACGGCUUGUCGCGUCGACUGUGAAAACCCGCAGCUCAACUGCGGGCCUGCAGUCGAUACGGGCAGGCUAGAGUUCGGUAGGGGAGACUGGAAUUCCUGGUGUAGCGGUGAAAUGCGCAGAUAUCAGGAGGAACACCGGUGGCGAAGGCGGGUCUCUGGGCCGAUACUGACGCUGAGGAGCGAAAGCGUGGGGAGCGAACAGGAUUAGAUACCCUGGUAGUCCACGCUGUAAACGUUGGGCGCUAGGUGUGGGGGGCCUCUCCGGUUCCCUGUGCCGCAGCUAACGCAUUAAGCGCCCCGCCUGGGGAGUACGGCCGCAAGGCU
rnacentral:rRNA from 1 species